rnacentral:rRNA from 1 species
UGGGGAAUAUUGCACAAUGGGCGCAAGCCUGAUGCAGCCAUGCCGCGUGUGUGAAGAAGGCCUUCGGGUUGUAAAGCACUUUCAGCGAGGAGGAAGGUGGUGAGCUUAAUACGCUCAUCAAUUGACGUUACUCGCAGAAGAAGCACCGGCUAACUCCGUGCCAGCAGCCGCGGUAAUACGGAGGGUGCAAGCGUUAAUCGGAAUUACUGGGCGUAAAGCGCACGCAGGCGGUUUGUUAAGUCAGAUGUGAAAUCCCCGGGCUCAACCUGGGAACUGCAUUUGAAACUGGCAAGCUAGAGUCUCGUAGAGGGGGGUAGAAUUCCAGGUGUAGCGGUGAAAUGCGUAGAGAUCUGGAGGAAUACCGGUGGCGAAGGCGGCCCCCUGGACGAAGACUGACGCUCAGGUGCGAAAGCGUGGGGCAGCAAACAGGAUUAGAUACCCUGGUAGUCCACGCUGUAAACGAUGUCGAUUUUGGAGGUUGUGCCCUUGAGGCGUGGNUUCCGAGCUAACG